CCCUUAGAUGUUCUGGGCUGCACGCGCGCUACACUGAUGCACUCAACGAGUUUACGACCUUGUCCGAGAGGAUUGGGUAAUCUUUUUAAAAUGCAUCGUGAUGGGGAUAGAUUAUUGCAAUUAUUAAUCUUCAACGAGGAAUUCCUAGUAAGCGCAAGUCAUCAGCUUGCGUCGAUUACGUCCCUGCCCUUUGUACACACCGCCCGUCGCUCCUACCGAUUGGGUGUGCUGGUGAAAUGUUCGGAUCGGCCGUUUGUCGCGGUUUCCGCGUCAUGUGGCUGAGAAGUUCAUUAAACCCUCCCACCUAGAGGAAGGAGAAGUCGUAACA
rnacentral:rRNA from 1 species